AAUUAUAUAUCAGUGGGUUUAUGAGUAUAAAGAUACUGGCUAUGUUUCUCAAUGUGUUCACCUUUGCUCUUCAACAGAGCUGCAUUUUCAAAAGGGAUGGAGAAACUUUGACUACAGUUGUACUUCCUCUCUACUAAGAAGAAAACCUGGGACGAGAGAGGAGCAGUCCUGGUGAUCAUAAACAGCAGAGAGGAACAGUGUGUUUCCGGUGUCCUGGAACGCACCCUGUCUGGUUGCCGGGCGAAUUAGCUUGUUGGGAGAUCGAUGUUCACCCGCACCUGUAUCCUAUCAGUAAUCUGCACACCUGUCCUGAUCAUCACCUCUCCCCUUCAAAAGCUCUGACCUGACAUCCAUUCCCUGCCGGAUCGUUAGCCAUGAACAUUCCUCACCCUGAUCAUUUACCCCAUUCCCGCCUGGUCGUCGUCGGAUUCCGCUACCCCAUUGGAUCCACCUAUUUACUCCCAUCAACUCACCACCGCUGCCCGCUACGCCACCUGGAUAUAUCUACCCAUUCACAUUCACUUGUAAAUAAAUACUCACCU